rnacentral:rRNA from 1 species
UACAGAGGGUGCGAGCGUUAAUCGGAAUUACUGGGCGUAAAGCGCGCGUAGACGGUUUUGUAAGUCAGAUGUGAAAUCCCCGGGCUCAACCUGGGAACUGCAUUUGAGACUGCAUGGCUAGAGUAUGGAAGAGGGAAGUGGAAUUUCCGGUGUAGCGGUGAAAUGCGUAGAUAUCGGGAGGAACAUCAGUGGCGAAGGCGGCUACCUGGCCCAAUACUGACACUCAGGUGCGACAGCGUGGGGAGCAAACAGG